CCUACGGGGGGCAGCAGUGAGGAAUAUUGGUCAAUGGCCGGAAGGCUGAACCAGCCAUGCCGCGUGAAGGUCAGUGCCCUAUGGGCGUUAAACUUCUUUUGUGCGGGAGCAAUAAUGGUCACGUGUGGCCAGACGAGAGUACCGUACGAAUAAGCAUCGGCUAACUCCGUGCCAGCAGCCGCGGUAAUACGGGGGAUGCAAGCGUUAUCCGGAUUUAUUGGGUUUAAAGGGGGCGUAGGCUGUGAGGUAAGUCAGCGGUGAAAUGCCCCCGCUCAACGGGGUGAAGUGCCAUUGAUACUGGCUGGCUGGAAUGCGGAUGCCGUGGGAGGAAUGUGUGGUGUAGCGGUGAAAUGCAUAGAGAUCACACAGAACACCGAUUGCGAAGGCAUCUCACGAAUCCGCGAUUGACGCUGAUGCACGAAAGCGUGGGUAUCAAACAGGAUUAGAUACCCUGGUAGUC
rnacentral:rRNA from 1 species